UUACGGCCAUAUCAAGUUGAAAGACCGGUUCCUGUACGAUCACCGAAGUUAAGCAACGUUAAGCGUCGUCAGAACUUAGAUGGGUGACCGGUUGGGAAUACCAGGUGCUGUA